rnacentral:rRNA from 1 species
UGCGUAGGCGGGCUAAUAAGUCAGUGGUGAAAUCUCUCGGCUCAACGGGGAAACUGCCAUUGAUACUGUUAGUCUUGAGUUCGGUUGAGGUAGGCGGAAUGUGUAAUGUAGCGGUGAAAUGCUUAGAUAUUACACAGAACACCAAUUGCGUAGGCAGCUUACUAGACCGACACUGACGCUGAGGCACGAAAGCGUGGGGAGCGAACAGGAUUAGAUACCCUGGUAGUCC